rnacentral:rRNA from 1 species
AGCUCCAAUAGCGUAUAUUAAAGUUGUUGCAGUUAAAAGCUCGUAGUUGGAUUUCUGGUGAGACGGAUUAUGUCUAGGUCGAAAGAUCUUGUUCAUGGUUUGUUUCGCCCUUCUUGUCAGGAACCCGCUGAGAGUCAAAUCUUGUCGGUGGAAUGGCAUCAUUUACUGUGAAAAAUUAGAGUGUUCAAAGCAGGCAUCGCCGUUGAAUACAUUAGCAUGGAAUAAUAAGAUAAGACUUUGGUGGUCUAUUUUGUUGGUUUGCACGCCGAAGUAAUGAUUAAUAGGGAUAGUUGGGGGUAUUCGUAUUCUAUUGCUAGAGGU